GCAAUGGGCGAAAGCCUGACGGAGCAAGACCGCGUGGGGGAGGAAGGUUUUUGGAUCGUAAACCCCUUUUGUCAAGGAAGAAGUUCUGACGGUACUUGACGAAUAAGCCUCGGCUAACUCCGUGCCAGCAGCCGCGGUAAUACGGAGGAGGCAAGCGUUAUCCGGAAUGAUUGGGCGUAAAGCGUCUGUAGGUGGCCAGCUAAGUCUGCUGUUAAAGAUCACAGCUCAACUGUGGGAAGGCAGUGGAAACUGGCAAGCUAGAGGCUGGUAGGGGUAAAGGGAAUUCCCGGUGUAGCGGUGAGAUGCGUAGAUAUCGGGAAGAACACCGGUGGCGAAAGCACUUUACUGGGCCAGACCUGACACUGAAGGACGAAAGCCAGGGGAGCGAAAGGGAUUAGAUACCCCUGUAGUCCUAGCUGUAAACGAUGGAGACUAGGUGUAGCACGUAUCGACCCGUGCUGUAUCGUAGCCAACGCGUUAAGUCU
rnacentral:rRNA from 1 species